rnacentral:rRNA from 1 species
GAUGAACGCUGGCGGCGUGCCUAAUACAUGCAAGUCGAGCGAACGGACGAGAAGCUUGCUUCUCUGAUGUUACCGGCGGACGGGUGAGUAACACGUGGAUAACCUACCUAUAAGACUGGGAUAACUUCGGGAAACCGGAGCUAAUACCGGAUAAUAUUUUGAACCGCAUGGUUCAAAAGUGAAAGACGGUCUUGCUGUCACUUAUAGAUGGAUCCUCGCUGCAUUAGCUAGUUGGUAAGGUAACGGCUUACCAAGGCAACGAUGCAUAGCCGACCUGAGAGGGUGAUCGGCCACACUGGAACUGAGACACGGUCCAGACUCCUACGGGAGGCAGCAGUAGGGAAUCUUCCGCGAUGGGCGAAAGCCUGACGGAGCAACGCCGCGUGAGUGAUGAAGGUCUUCGGAUCGUAAAACUCUGUUAUUAGGGAAGAACAUAUGUGUAAGUAACUGUGCACAUCUUGACGGUACCUAAUCAGAAAGCCACGGCUAACUACGUG